AGCGAACGCUGGCGGCAGGCUUAACACAUGCAAGUCGAGCGGGCGUAGCAAUACGUCAGCGGCAGACGGGUGAGUAACACGUGGGAACGUGCCUUUUGGUUCGGAAUAACUCAGGGAAACUUGUGCUAAUACCGAAUGUGCCCUUCGGGGGAAAGAUUUAUCGCCAUUAGAGCGGCCCGCGUCUGAUUAGCUAGUUGGUG
rnacentral:rRNA from 1 species